UACGUAGGGCGCAAGCGUUGUCCGGAAUUAUUGGGCGUAAAGCGCUCGUAGGCGGCUUGUCACGUCGGGUGUGAAAGCCCGGGGCUUAACCCCGGGUCUGCAUUCGAUACGGGCUGGCUAGAGUGUGGUAGGGGAGAUCGGAAUUCCUGGUGUAGCGGUGAAAUGCGCAGAUAUCAGGAGGAACACCGGUGGCGAAGGCGGAUCUCUGGGCCAUUACUGACGCUGAGGAGCGAAAGCGUGGGGAGCGAACAGG
rnacentral:rRNA from 1 species